CCUUAACCUCCUCAGCAGGAAGAUUACUUCACCAUGCAGAACUCUAGUUGAAGUGGAGGAGCUAGACAGGAGUCUAGCUCAACCGGAGGAGAGUAAUGCAAUGCACAACGUUCAACCUGAACAACAUCCUCAGGAUUCCAGCAUCACCAGUCAACAGCUCUGUACAGCUGAAACAGAUGAAGGGCAAAUGGAUAGUAACCAAGACAGAGCUGCCACAGUUCAAGCAUAAAGUGCCGCUGAGCAGCAACCCAUGGUGUCGGUCGUGUUCAUUCGACACACAACGCAGAGGAAAAGACCACCGGUUACACUACUACAGUUGCCUACGUACUACAAUCCUGCCUGCCUGCCAAACACCUCCACUACAGCUGAUUACUUCCCUCCCUCAUCCCUUGUUUGUUUAAAUUAAAACCUUUGGACUUUGGAUCUGUCUUCUGUCGGCUUUUGGGUCCGCCAUUUUGUUAAAUCGUGACUCUCUCUCUCUCUAUCCAGCUGUGGUUCUCUGAUACUCCCUCAUUGUCAUUCCGGAGGGAUGUCUGUACGCCAAACAAGUCUGCAGAUGG